rnacentral:rRNA from 1 species
CCUACGGGAGGCAGCAGUGGGGAAUUUUGGACAAUGGGCGAAAGCCUGAUCCAGCAAUGCCGCGUGAGUGAAGAAGGCCUUCGGGUUGUAAAGCUCUUUUGUCAGGGAAGAAACGGUGAAAGCUAAUAUCUUUUGCUAAUGACGGUACCUGAAGAAUAAGCACCGGCUAACUACGUGCCAGCAGCCGCGGUAAUACGUAGGGUGCAAGCGUUAAUCGGAAUUACUGGGCGUAAAGCGUGCGCAGGCGGUUUUGUAAGUCUGAUGUGAAAUCCCCGGGCUCAACCUGGGAAUUGCAUUGGAGACUGCAAGGCUAGAAUCUGGCAGAGGGGGGUAGAAUUCCACGUGUAGCAGUGAAAUGCGUAGAUAUGUGGAGGAACACCGAUGGCGAAGGCAGCCCCCUGGGUCAAGAUUGACGCUCAUGCACGAAAGCGUGGGGAGCAAACAGGAUUAGAUACCCUGGUAGUCCACGCCCUAAACGAUGUCUACUAGUUGUCGGGUCUUAAUUGACUUGGUAACGCAGCUAACGCGUGAAGUAGACCGCCUGGGGAUACGGUCGCAAGNUUAAAACNAAAUAGAGUAGAGCGNGAGAGAGCGAGGACGACACGAGGGAGGAG